CCUCAUCUUCUCUAUGAAGUUAGCAACUUGACUUAAUAACAUUCCAGUGAUGUAGAAUGCUACUCCUCUCCUUCCCUCCUCACAAAACCAUCUCUAAACUCCUGAACUACUGCCCACAAAGUCCCCAAUGGUCUUUCACAGUGCUGGGCUGGUUGGUGGAUUAUAUUGAUGGAUUUUUGUAUACUGAACCAUCCCUACAUCCCUGGGAAGAAGUCUACUAAUUCAUGAUGCAUUCAUCAACUUAUGAGGUUCCAAGCAGUUGAUGUAAGGUGGAAAGUCUUAAGUUGUAUGAAAUGAUUCAGCCAUCCACAUCACAGAACUACAGCUGGGCCACACUCUGAGGCUGGAGAAAGUGAUUCCAGCAAUCAAGAUGGAUUUUUUUUUCAGCUCUCAUUCUCUGAACAGAUGCUCUACAAACAUAUAAACAUCUCUUAUAUAAACAGACAGUACUUCUGUGGAAAUUGGGAGGAAGAAUUUAAUUACAGCUUGGAGCCAACCCUGUGCACCACAAGGAGUACUGCCUGCAUUUGCAAAAUGCACAUUCUUCUCCCAUACACUCUGUCUACAAAAUGUCUCAUUUGGCCAACAGACAGCAAGCACAUG
rnacentral:lncRNA from 1 species